rnacentral:rRNA from 1 species
UCGAUUGAGUUUGAUCAUGGCUCAGAACGAACGCUGGCGGCAGGCCUAACACAUGCAAGUCGAACGCCGUAGCAAUACGGAGUGGCAGACGGGUGAGUAACGCGUGGGAACAUACCCCCCGGUUCGGAAUAACUCAGGGAAACUUGAGCUAAUACCGGAUAAGUCCGAGGUUUUAAUCGACCUUGGAGAAAGAUUUAUCGCCGGAGGAUUGGCCCGCGUCUGAUUAGCUUGUUGGUGAGGUAAUGGCUCACCAAGGCGACGAUCAGUAGCUGGUCUGAGAGGAUGAUCAGCCACAUUGGGACUGAGACACGGCCCAAACUCCUACGGGAGGCAGCAGUGGGGAAUAUUGGACAAUGGGCGAAAGCCUGAUCCAGCCAUGCCGCGUGAGUGAUGAAGGCCUUAGGGUUGUAAAGCUCUUUUACCCGGGAAGAUAAUGACGGUACCGGGAGAAUAAGCCCCGGCUAACUUCGUGCCAGCAGCCGCGGUAAUACGAAGGGGGCUAGCGUUGUUCGGAAUUACUGGGCGUAAAGCGCACGUAGGCGGAUCUUUAAGUCAGGGGUGAAAUCCCGAGGCUCAACCUCGGAACUGCCUUUGAUACUGGGGAUAUCGAGUCCGGGAGAGGUGAGUGGAACUGCGAGUGUAGAGGUGAAAUUCGUAGAUAUUCGCAAGAACACCAGUGGCGAAGGCGGCUCACUGGCCCGGUACUGACGCUGAGGUGC